ensembl:lncRNA
ACUCUACAACACCUGAGGCCAGCACUACAGAACAAAUAACCACAGUUGAUAACACAACACAACUGAUCACAUUUACCAGUAAGUAUCAUCAAGUUCUGGAGAACAAAAUGUGUGUUUCUCCCCUAAUGUAGACUCUACAACAUCAUCAUCUACACCCACAACAGAACAAAUUACUACAGCUGACCCCACAAUACAUCUGACCACAGUUGUCAGUAAAUACAAUCAAGUACUAGUUAAAAUAAUUUGUUCUUAAAUUCAGGUCUUCACAUGUUUGUCACAUCCCUCCCUCCCUCCCUCCCUCCCUCCCUCCCUCCCUCCCUCCCUCCCUCCCUCCCUCCCUCCCUCCCUCCCUCUCUGUCUGUCUGUCUGUCUGUCUGUCUGUCUGUCUGUCUGUCUGUCUGUCUGUCUGUCUGUCUGUCUGUCUGUCUGUCUGUCUGUCUGUCUGUCUCUCUCUCUCUCUCUCUCUCUCUCUCUCUCUGCUUUAGACUCUACAACACCUGAGGCCAGCACUACAGAACAAAUAACUACAGUUGAUAACACAACACAACUGAUCACAGUUACCAACUCUACAACACCUGAGGCCAGCACUACAGAACAAAUAACUACAGUUGAUAACACAACACAACUGAUCACAGUUACCAACUCUACAACACCUGAGGCCAGCACUACAGAACAAAUAACUACAGUUGAUAACACAACACAACUGAUCACAGUUACCAGUAAGUAUCAUCAAGUUCUGGAGAACAAAAUGUGUGUUUCACCCCUAAUGUAGACUCUACAACAUCUUUACCCACAACAUAACAAAUUACUACAGCUGACCCCACAACACAACUGAUCACAGUUACUAGUAAAUACAAUCAAGUACUAGUUAAAAUAAUUUUUUCUUAAAUUCAGGUCUUCACAUGUUUGUCACAUCCCUCCCUCCCUCCCUCCCUCCCUCCCUCCCUCCCUCCCUCCCUCCCUCGCUCUCUGUCUGUCUGUCUGUCUGUCUGUCUGUCUGUCUCUCUCUCUCUCUCUCUCUCUCUCUCUCUCUCUCUCUCUCUCUCUAAUUUAGACUCUACAACACCUGAGGCCAGCACUACAGAACAAAUAACCACUGUUGAUAACACAACACAACUGAUCACAGUUACCAACUCUACAACACCUGAGGCCAGCACUACAGAACAAAUAACUACAGUUGAUAACACAACACAACUGAUCACAGUUACCAACUCUACGACACCUGAGGCCAGCACUACAGAACAAAUGACCAAAGUUACCAACUCUACAACAACUCCACCCACAACAGGACAAAGUACUACAGCUGACCCCACAACACAACUGACCACAAUUACCAACUUUACUACACCUGCAGCUACAACAAAUCAGACCACUACAGUUGACCCCACAACACAACCGACCACAGACACGAGUAAGUGUCAUCAACUUCUGUAUAACAAAACCUGUCUGAAGCAGACCUAACAACCUGUUACUUCUCUGCUGUAGACUCUACUGCACCCACAAAUACAUUAACUACUGAAUCAACACCAGCAUUAAGUACAAAAACAACACCACCAACUGUGAUAAUACCACCACCAACCACAAUUGCAAAACCUGCUGGUGUGUGUAAGAAUAGAGGAUGUUUCUGAAGACUUCUAAAUGAAUCCUGACCACAUUCACCAGUAGGUGAACCAUAGUUCACCAAACAGAUCUAACAAUGUAACAGUCUGUCACUACUGUAUAUAACCGCUUUGCUGUAGCCUCUGCAACACUUUAGCCCACAACAGAACAGAGAACAACCACCACAGGUAGCACAGGUGUUGUUCUGUGAUCCCACCUCCAGUUUUGUACUGUAGCUUUCACUUACUACUAAGCCAUGUGUCUCUCCCAACAGGAACUACAGUAACUACUGAACCACCACCAGCAACUACAAAAACGACACCACCAACAACAAUACCACCAACAACACCACCAACAACAGUACCACCACCAACAACAAUACCACCACCAACACCACCAACACCACCAACAACAACACCACCAACACCACCAACAACAACACCACCAUCAACUACAAAACCAGCUGGUAUGUGUAAGAAUAGAAGAUGUUUCUGAACACUGCUGAAUGAAUCCUGAUUAUGCCAUGAUUAUGAAAAAUCAUGAAUCAAUCAUGAACCUUGAUGGGUGAGAAGGUUACAGAGGCUACAACAAAACAUGUUAACCUCUCACCAUUAGCAAUAGCAUUUUUGGGGUGUAUGAUGUGCCUCUGUUAAUUUCUCAGUCAUUAUUAUUCACGAUUCAUUCACAUUUAUCCAUAAUCAUGGUAGCAUCCACAUUCAUGUAGAAGUGUUCAGAGACAUCUUCUAUUCUUACUUACAAUAAAAGGGUCUCCAAAAUGACACAAUGCAUUAUUCACCAUUCAGUUCCUAUAGGGAAAAAUAUCAUCUGAUCAUCAUUAUGCAAAUGCAUUCAAUGAGUUUGUUGAGUCACAAGCUUGAUUUAGUCGUUGAGUGCAAGGAAUAUGAGAACAAAUACUACACUUGUGACUACUUUACUACACUAUAAGUACAUUUUUCUUAUGACUUUCUCAAAUGUGGGGACAAGAUACAUAAAGUGCUUUAAUUUCUUUAUUUUUUAAUAUUUUUUUAUUUUUCAUUUUUAUAAAAAAACAAAAAUGGUAUUUCAUGGUAUCAGUCAGUUCAGUUGAGUCAGACUCAUCACUGCAACUCCCGUACGGACUCGUUCGAGGCGAAGGUCAAGAGCUGUGCGUCCUCCGAAACACAACCCAACCAAGCCGUACUGCCUCUGGACACAAUGCCCACUUAACCCGGAAGCCAGCCGCACCAAUGUGUUGGAGGAAACACCGUACACCUGGCGACCGUGUCAGCGUGCAUUGUGCCCGGCCAGCCACAGGAGUCUCUAGUACGCGAUGGGACAAGGACAUCCCUGCCGGCCAAACCUUCCCCUAACCCGGAAGAUGCUGGGACAAUUGUGCGCCGCCCCAUGGGUCUUCCGGUCGCGGCCGGCUGUGACAGAGCCUGGACUCGAACCCAAAAUCUCUAAUCUCAGGGCCACUCGGGAGGCCCUGUGCUUUAAUUUCUAAACAGUAAAACAGACAUGUAUGAAAAUACCCUCAAAUAACAGGACACAUUCUGUACUGUUGCCUCAUAUGAAACAUUUGAUCUCAAUUCCAAAAGGCUGGAGUAUAAAACCAAAUGUAACACUUUAUCUCCACUGUCCAAAUCCAUAUGGAGGGGAGUAAAUAAUAGGAUACACAGUAUAGGUAGCAACAAUGCCAUUCCAUUUAAGCACAUUUGUCAUUCUUCUUCUUUUGUUU